UAGAACUGUUAUUGCGAUAGGUGGAAUGAUAGGGCAACGCCUUGAAACGCCUACAUUAAUACUCCGAAUAGCGUUUAAUAAAGUAAAUUAUUAAGGGUUAUAAGCUCGGUGAAGUCGGCUGAGAGUACACCCUAACAAGUAAUGUUGAGGAAUAGCGAACUAGAGGUAGUCGAGUGUAUGAUAGGUCGGGUGUCUAUAAA
rfam:Clostridium sp. DL-VIII chromosome, whole genome shotgun sequence.